ensembl:snRNA U6 U6 spliceosomal RNA
GUGCUCACUUUAGCAGCAUGUAUACUAAAACUGGAAUGAUGCAGAGAUUAGCAUGGCCUCUACACAAGGAUCACACACAAAUACCUGAAAUGGUCCAUAUUUUU